rnacentral:sRNA from 1 species
AGAUGUCUUAGCCUCACUUCACCAAACAGAGCACACAGUGGAAAAAGAGAGACUGAGAUCACUGAAGAGUUGAAUAGUUACUCAAAGUGAGAGCUUAUAAGAAUUUCCUGAUAAUCACAACUUAACUUGAAAGAUGGGAGGAACACGUAGAAAUAAAAAAGAUAAAAAGUCGGGAAAUUGAAAAAUGAAAACGAGUAACAGGAACACCAACAAACAAAAUGAGAAACCAGAGAGAACUGACGAUUCUGGAACACCUAGUCAAGAUGACAGUGAGGAUAGCACCCAACGCUCAAGUUUAGAAGAAGCAGAGAAAAACAAAAGUGACCACGAUAUGAACCAAACGAAAGAAGAGGAAAAGAGAACUGACGAUUCUGGAACACAAGCCAAGAUACAGAGAGGAUAGCACCCAACGCUUAAGUUUAGAAGAAGCAGAGAAAAACAAAAGCGACCACGAUAUAAAUCCAAACGAGAAAGAAGGAAAAGAGAAAACUGACGAUUCUGGAACACCUAGCCAAGAUGACAGAGAGGAUAGCACCCAACGCUUAAGUUUAGAAGAAGCAGAGAAAAACAAAAGCGACCACGAUAUGAAUCCAAACGAGAAAGAAGGAAAAGAGAGAACUGACGAUUCUGGAACACCUAGCCAAGAUGACAGAGAGGAUAGCACCCACGCUUAAGUUUAGAAGAAGCAGAGAAAAACAAAAGUGACCACGAUAUGAAUCCAAACGAGAAAGAAGGAAAAGAGAGAACUGACGAUUCUGGAACACCUAGUCAAGAUGACAGUGAGGAUAGCACCCAACGCUCAAGUUUAGAAGAAGCAGAGAAAAACAAAAGUGACCACGAUAUGAAUCCAAACGAGAAAGAAGGAAAAGAGAGAACUGACGAUUCUGGAACACCAAGCCAAGAUGACAGAGAGGAUAGCACCCAACGCUUAAGUUUAGAAGAAGCAGAGAAAAACAAAAGCGACCACGAUAUGAAUCCAAACGAGAAAGAAGGAAAAGAGAGAACUGACGAUUCUGGAACACCUAGCCAAGAUGACAGAGAGGAUAACACCCAACGCUUAAGUUUAGAAGAAGCAGAGAAAAACAAAGUGACCACGAUAUGAGUCCAAACGAGAAAGAAGGAAAGAGAGAACUGGCGGUUCUGGAACACCUAGCCAAGAUGACAUAGAGGAUAGCACCCAACGCUUAAGUUUAGAAGAAGCAGAGAAAAACAAAAGCGACCACGAUAUGAGUCCAAAC